rnacentral:rRNA from 1 species
GAUGAACGCUGGCGGCGUGCUUAACACAUGCAAGUCGAACGGGAUCCAAGGGGUGCUUGCCCUUUUUGGUGAGAGUGGCGAACGGGUGAGUAACACGUGAGUAACCUGUCCUUUUCUUUGGGAUAAGCAUUCGAAAGGGUGUUUAAUACCUUAUGUUCUGUCUGCCUCGCAUGGGGUUGGUGGGAAAGGCUUUGGCCGGAUUUGGGUGGGCUCGCGGUCUAUCUGCUUGUUGGUGGGGUGAUGGCUUACCAAGGCUUUGACGGGUAGCCGGCCUGAGAGGGUGGGCGGUCACAUUGGGACUGAGAAACGGGACAGACUCAUGCGGGAGGCAGCAGUGGGGGAUAUUGCACAAGGGGAGAAAGCAUGAUGCAGCGACGCCGCGUGGGGGAUGAAGGCCUUCGGGUUGUAAACUUCUUUUGCUCUGAACAAGGCAUGCCAGUGGGUGUGUUGAGUGUAGGGGUUGAUUAGCGCCGGCUAACUACGUG